rnacentral:rRNA from 1 species
CGAAGUUAGAGAGAGCUUGCUUUUUCUAACUUAGUGGCGAACGGGUGAGUAACGCGUGAGGAACCUGCCCCAAAGAGGGGGACAACAGUUGGAAACGACUGCUAAUACCGCAUAAGCCCACAGCUCCGCAUGGAGCAGAGGGAAAAGGAGCAAUCCGCUUUGAGAUGGCCUCGCGUCCGAUUAGCUAGUUGGUGAGGUAACGGCCCACCAAGGCGACGAUCGGUAGCCGGACUGAGAGGUUGAUCGGCCACAUUGGGACUGAGACACGGCCCAGACUCCUACGGGAGGCAGCAGUGGGGAAUAUUGCACAAUGGGGGAAACCCUGAUGCAGCGACGCCGCGUGGAGGAAGAAGGUCUUCGGAUUGUAAACUCCUGUUGUUGGGGAAGAUAAUGACGGUACCCAACAAGGAAGUGACGGCUAACUACGUGCCAGCAGCCGCGGUAAAACGUAGGUCACAAGCGUUGUCCGG